rnacentral:sRNA from 1 species
CUUCUGCAGCAGCUGCUGUUGCUGCUGCUCAAACUCCGCUCGCUGCCGCUGGUAGUCGAGGAAGGCGGCCUGCAUUUGGUCCGCAUAUGUGGGCACUUGGGCCCGUUGUCCUGCCACGCCCGACUGUGCCAGAAGUUGCUGCUGCUGCUGCUGCUGCUGCUGCAGCUGCUGCUGUUCGUGCUGCUGCUGCAGCUGCUGCUGCUGGAGUGUGGACACGGCGGAUGGCUUGGGCUUGCCACCACGAGCUGCUGCCUGCUGCU